rnacentral:rRNA from 1 species
UACGUAGGGAGCAAGCGUUAUCCGGAAUCAUUGGGCGUAAAGAGCGUGUAGGCGGUUCGGUAAGUCCGCUGUGAAAGUCAAGGGCUCAACCCUUGAAUGCCGGUGGAUACUGCCAAACUAGAGUCCGGAAGAGGCGAGUGGAAUUCCUGGUGUAGCGGUGAAAUGCGCAGAUAUCAGGAGGAACACCGAUGGCGAAGGCAGCUCGCUGGGACGGUACUGACGCUGAGACGCGAAAGCGUGGGGAGCAAACAGG